rnacentral:rRNA from 1 species
UACGAAGGGUGCAAGCGUUACUCGGGAUUACUGGGCGUAAAGCGUGCGUAGGUGGUUUGUUAAGUCUGUUGUGAAAGCCCCGGGCUCAACCUGGGAAUGGCAAUGGAUACUGGCAAGCUAGAGUGCGGUAGAGGGUAGUGGAAUUCCCGGUGUAGAGGUGAAAUUCGUAGAUAUCGGGAGGAACACCAGUGGCGAAGGCGGCGAUCUGGGAAGAUACUGACGCUGAGGUGCGAAAGCGUGGGGAGCAAACAGG